CCUACGGAGGGCAGCAGUGGGGAAUAUUGGACAAUGGGCGAAAGCCUGAUCCAGCCAUGCCGCGUGUGUGAAGAAGGCCUUCGGGUUGUAAAGCACUUUCAGUGGGGAAGAAAGCCUUGGGGCUAAUACCCUCGAGGAAGGACAUCACCCACAGAAGAAGCACCGGCUAACUCCGUGCCAGCAGCCGCGGUAAUACGGAGGGUGCGAGCGUUAAUCGGAAUUACUGGGCGUAAAGCGCGCGUAGGCGGUCUGAUAAGCCGGUUGUGAAAGCCCCGGGCUCAACCUGGGAACGGCAUCCGGAACUGUCAGGCUAGAGUGCAGGAGAGGAAGGUAGAAGUCCCGGUGUAGCGGUGAAAUGCGUAGAGAUCGGGAGGAAUACCAGUGGCGAAGGCGGCCUUCUGGACUGACACUGACGCUGAGGUGCGAAAGCGUGGGUAGCAAACAGGAUUAGAUACCCCAGUAGUC
rnacentral:rRNA from 1 species